CCACCCUUGCCUCGCUUGUUGUCUAACCGCGGUCCGUUAUCCGGAUCCGGGACCCUGCGUGGCGGGUAGUUUGACUGGGGCGGUCGCCUCCUAAAGAGUAACGGAGGCGCGCGAUGGUUGGCUCAGGACGGUUGGAAACCGUCUGUUAGAGUGCAAUGGCAUAAGCCAGCCUGACUGCGAGACUGACAAGUCGAGCAGAGACGAAAGUCGG
rnacentral:rRNA from 1 species